CUGACAGUGCCCGAUCUCAAAGUCCAUGCCUACACGUCAGUCUCCCCACCCAUAAGAAGGACAUAAUGGAUCUGCUUGCAAAUCUGUACAUCGUGGGCCUGAGUGGAUCAAGAGAACACUAAGCUCAGGAAUUCAGGGAGCUGGGUGGGAAGGCUCACCUUUCGAGUGCGGAGGGUGACGGACGCCCCCCGUUCAAGCAGCAGCUCAGCCACCUCGAAGUGGCCACAGUUGAGGGCAUCGUGGAGGGGGGUGAUGCCUUCGCAGCCCUGGCCACCUGGGUCGUCCACUGCGGCCCCGUGGUCCAGCAGGAAGCGGACAAUUUCUGCAGACCAGGAGACGUAAGCCCAGCUCCCGAUGCCCCGCCAGGACUGACUCUUCGCCCCACGUGUCCACCAAGGUGCGCCAGGCUCCUUCUGUCCCUUGCUCACCUAGAUGCCCGUAGUUGCAGGCCUCGUGCAGAGGUGUCCAGCCACAGUAGUCCCGAGGGUUAAGGGGGUGGCCCUGUGACCAAGGACAGGAAGGAGCCUGGCCCUGUGUACCUCACAGCCUGGCCCCAGCCCCGUGAGCUCUGCAGCCUAAGCUGAGCCCAGGGCCUCAGUCUUAGAGCCCAGAGCAAGUCCGUGGCCCUGCCCUCUCCUCCUCCGGCCUAGGUGUCACCAGUGAAGGACAUGCUUCCCCCUGAGACAGGUGGACCAGCCACAGCAUAUCCUCCGCCUCUGUGCCUGCCCGGUCCCCUUGUGGGGAGACAGUGCACCUGGUCGCAGGGGCAUGAGGCAGGCGGGGCGGGAAGGUGCCCAGAUCUCAGCCCAUGGGCUAGCCCCCAUCCUGGCCAGGCUGACCAACUUAGCUGUAACACAGAUGCAUACCACACAGCAGGUACCCCAUUUUUUUUUUGAGACCAGCCAGGCUGGUCUCAAGCUCCUGACCUCGUGAUCUGCCCACCUUGGCCUCCCAAAGUGCUGGGAUUACAGGUAUGAACCACCGCGCCCAGCCUGGGCACCCCAUUUUUUUGUGUUUUUUUUUGAGACAGAGUCUCGCUCUGUCACCCAGGCUGGAGUGCAGCGGCGCAAUCUCAUCUCACCGCAACCUCCGCCUCCCAGGUUCAAGCGAUUCUCCUGCCUCAGCCUCCCGAGUAGCUGGGACUACAGGUAUGUGCCACCAUACCCAGCUAAUAUUUUUGUAUUUUUAGUAGAGACAGGGUUUCACCAUGUUAGCCAGACUGGUCUCAAACUCCUGACCUCAGGCAAUCCGCCCGCCUCAGCCUCCCAAAGUGCUAGGAUUAUAGACAUAAGCCACUGUACCCGGCCUGUGGCUUUUCUUCUGAGACAGGGUCUUGCUCUGUCACACAGGUUGGAGUGCAGUGGCAAGAUCAUGGCUCACUGCAGCCUCCACCUCCUAGGCUCAAGCAACCCUCCCACCUCAACCUCCAAAGCAGCUGAGACUACAGGCACACGCCAUCACAUCCACCUAAUUUUUAAAUUUCUUGGAGACAAGGUCUUGCCAGGGUGCCCAGGCUGGUCUCGAACUCCUGGGCUCAUGUGAUCUGCCUGCCUUGGCAUCCCAAAGUGCUGGGAUUACAGGCAUAAGCCACCCCGUGCAGCCUCCGCUUUUUAAAUUUUUUUGAAACAGGGUCUCACUGUGUUGCCCAGGCUGGAGUGCAGUGGCAUGAUCGCGACUCCUGCAGCCUCAAUCUCCCUCCCAGGAUGAAGUGAUCCUCCUGCCUCUAGGACCACAGGUGGCCCUGAAGCUCCUCGUCCUCCUCCAGCUGCGGGGUCAGGCCAUCGGUGUCGUCCUCUGGAACAGAGCCAAGCCCACCCCAGGGGAGUCCGUGGGAGGUGAAGGAGGCCAAGGCCGCCCCAGGCUCCCUGCGGGUCACCACCUUCUCUGUCCAGUUCCGGGAAAGCACUGGCCGUCCUGCCUGCCUGUGGCUGUUCCUGCUACAGCCCUAAGCAGGCUCCACAGCAGCACAGCACACCCCUCUCCAGCCCGGCCCAGAGCAGGCCCAGGGAAAUGCAAGGUGCCGCUGGCCCUCACCGCCCUCUGAGAGCUCCACCUCGCCGGCCUCCAGGGCUUCGCUCUCCGCUGUGGCUGCCGCCUCCUCCGCCUCCUCCUCCUCAUCUUCAUCUUCAGCUACACUGAGCUCCCGUAGUCUGGUUUCGGUCUCAGGGGCCUCCUGGGGCUGCAGCCUCAGCUGCACGGUAUGGAGAUGCUGCAAGACCUGCCUCUGAGGAGCAGAGGGAUGCUCAGCUCAGGACUGGGGGCUGUGGACGCAGAGAAAGAUGGGGAUGGGGCACAAGGGGCAGGCAGGCUGCAACGAAGCUGGGCUCACCGGGGAGCCAGUAUGGGUGGGAUGGGCUCUCGCACCUGCAGCUGGGGACGCUGGGCCUGCUGGGCACAGCUGAGCGCUUUCUGGAAGCACGGGGCCAGCAGCUCGUAGGCAUCGCCGGCCUCCUCGCGGGACAGUGCAAUGUUCAGCCAGGUCUUGGCCUCCUGGAGCAGGAGGAAGGACAGGGUCGGGGGCUGCCGCUGUCUGCGUCCAACGGGCCCCAGUCAAGCUUCCCCGGCUGCCCAGACGAAAUGGGAGCCCGGCCUCCCAGCUGCCGAGGGUGGAUGGUCCUAGGAAGGAGCUGCCCGUCCAGUAAGGACACCUGUCCAUGGCCACCCUGAGAACGGCAGUCCUGAGGCAGAGACAUGGGUGAACCUGCAUUCGGGCGGGGAGCAAGGGUUUCACCUCCAGCACGUUGCCGCUGCGCAGCCUCAGUUCCUCCUCAUAGUGGCGCACGGCCCCAUGGUGGUCCUUCAUGUCUCCCAGUGUGGUGGCCAGGGA
rnacentral:lncRNA from 1 species